GCCUACGGGACGCAGCAGUAGGGAAUUUUCGUCAAUGGGCGCAAGCCUGAACGAGCGAUGCCGCGUGAGUGAAGAAGGCCUUCGGGUCGUAAAGCUCUGUUGCGGGGGAAAAAAGGCAGCAUCAGGAAAUGGGUGCUGACUGAUGGUGCCCCGCCAGAAAGUCACGGCUAACUACGUGCCAGCAGCCGCGGUAAUACGGAGGAUGCGAGCGUUAUCCGGAUUUAUUGGGUUUAAAGGGUGCGCAGGCGGUCUGUUAAGUCAGCGGUCAAAGCCCGGGGCUCAACCCCGGCCCGCCGUUGAAACUG
rnacentral:rRNA from 1 species